UGCCUCAGGUGAGAUUUCUUUCUUGAUGAAGA
rnacentral:piRNA from 1 species